ensembl:snRNA U6 U6 spliceosomal RNA
GUGAUUGAAUAUUUGCAUGUUAAGAAUGAGAUGGAGGGGGGCAGCACAGACACUAAAAUUGGAACGAUGCAGAGAAGGUUAGCACGACCCCUGAACAAGGAUAACAUGCAAAUUCAUGAAGCUUCCUCAUUUUUA